UUAAUGGCAGAAUCUUUGGAGAAAUCAUAGUUCUUGGGCUCUGGGGGAACUACGACCGCAAGGCUGAAACUUGAAGGAAUUGACGGAAGGGCACACCAGGGGUGGAGCCUGUGGCUUAAUUUGAAUCAACACGGGGAAACUUACCAGGACCAGAUGUUUUUUAUGACUGACAGGCUUCGGGUCUUUCAGGAUAUUGUUUUUGGUGGUGCAUGGCCGUUGGUGGUGCGUGGGUUGACCUGUCUAGCGUUGAUCAGCUAACGAGCGAG
rnacentral:rRNA from 1 species